rnacentral:lncRNA from 1 species
UGGUGCUAAAGAAGCUUUCACUAUUCUAUGUGUAUUUACUCGUACGUGUUUGUCUAACAUGGGGUCAUUGGGCUUCUUUAAAUUGGAAAAGGAAUUCAUCAUUAAUAAGUAAUUUUGAGUUGAUUGAAAAUUAAAUUUAAGGACCUGAAUCUUAACUGUCCUUACAGUCAUGUAAAUUGAGAUUAAUAUCUUCAAAGUCAACAUAAUAGAAGAAAGAACAUACCUUUAAAAGCUUUGCCCAAGAGCCAGCUGGAAGUUGAUUUUGUGUUGAGUAACCAGCUGUGCUGCAUAACGCAGCUCACUCACAUAGGAUGCUGAUUUUAGGCAAAGUAGACAUCUAGUGGACUUCUCUACAAAUGCUUUUCACCAAUACUUAUUUACCUUCUCCAUCACAGCACUUGGGCUCAUUCCAUUCUCCUGUUCCUGGAACAGGUCCAGUCCCCCACCUCAAGACUGGUACUCCCACAUGAGCUGUUCAGCAGGCCGGUUCUUUUCCACCUGCCAUUCACAACAGUGUGCCUCACUGAUGCCAGAGGUUGGCAUGGGACUGUGUGCUGCAGCUGCUGCCAUUUUGUGUGGGCUGUGUGGUGCGAGAGGCUCAACUGCCUUGUCCCCUUGUGUCUAUGCUUCUUUUCCAUUACGUCUGCAGUUUUAAAAAAAUUUUUCUAUCCUGAGUGAGAAUUCCACUUAAAUAGACACAGACUAUUAAACUGCAGUAAGGCAACACAGUCCUUCUAUGAGGAAGCCUGGAGUGAAACUGCACUGCCAUACUCUGCUCUCAGUAAGCACUACGGGAAUUUUAUCAGACAUAUUUUUGAUGGGCUUUUCACAUCUUGUGUUAUUAAGCCAACUAUUAACAAAAAUCAGAAAAAAAACAAUGAGUCAGAAAUUGGUAUAUAUAGUCUAAUGUGUGAAGUGUUUUUUUUCUGGAAAUGUAGAAAAUUGAAGCUACAUUGAAGUUAAAGUAUCUGUUUGAAACGGAAAGGAGUAAGAAGAAACUUCCCUCAUUAAAUACUUUUUAUGAAAGGAAUGUCUCACUAUCCUUUUGCGUGACUUGUGAAGU